UGUGCAGAGAGAGAGAGAGAGAGGUUCAGAGCAACCAGAUGUGCAGAGAGAGAGAGGUUCAGAGCAACCAGAUGUGCAGAGAGAGAGAGGUUCAGAGCAACCAGAUGUGCAGAGAGAGAGAGGUUCAGAGCAACAAGAUGUGCAGAGAGAGAGAGAGAGAGAGAGAGGUUCAGAGCAACAAGAUGUGCAGAGAGAGAGAGAGAGAGGUUCAGAGCAACCAGAUGUGCAGAGAGAGAGAGAGAGAGAGGUUCAGUGCCCAGUACAGGUAAAAUAGAAAGGGACAGCGAAAGCACUGAAAAUCCAUUUGAUUAUUUUGCCCAAAACAGCAAAUAAAGUAAUUGAAGUCAUCAGAAUGUCGAUUCAGCAGACAAUUGCUGUUGAAGUGAGAAAGGCAGGGAUGUUCUCAGCAGGGAUGUUCUCAGCAGGGAUGUUCUCAGCAGGGAUGUUCUCAGUACAAAUGGGCACAACACAGGAUUUAACAUCCAAAGACCAGU